rnacentral:rRNA from 1 species
UUGACCUCAAAUCAAGCAAGA